CCUACGGGUGGCAGCAGUGAGGAAUAUUGGUCAAUGGACGAGAGUCUGAACCAGCCAAGUAGCGUGAAGGAUGACUGCCCUAUGGGUUGUAAACUUCUUUUAUAAGGGAAUAAAAUGUGGCACGUGUGGGAUUUUGUAUGUACCAUAUGAAUAAGGAUCGGCUAACUCCGUGCCAGCAGCCGCGGUAAUACGGAGGAUCCGAGCGUUAGCCGGAUUUAUUUGGGUUAAAGGGCGCGGAGGUGGGUUGUUAAGUCCGUGGUGAAAGUUUGCGGCUCAACCGUUAACUUGCCGUGGACACGGGCAGUCUUGAGUACUGUAGAGGUGGGCGGAAUGCGUGGUGUAGCGGU
rnacentral:rRNA from 1 species